GACGAACGCUGGCGGCGUGCUUAACACAUGCAAGUCGAACGGAAAGGCCCUGCUUUUGUGGGGUGCUCGAGUGGCGAACGGGUGAGUAACACGUGAGUAACCUGCCCUUGACUUUGGGAUAACUUCAGGAAACUGGGGCUAAUACCGGAUAGGAGCUCCUGCUGCAUGGUGGGGGUUGGAAAGUUUCGGCGGUUGGGGAUGGACUCGCGGCUUAUCAGCUUGUUGGUGGGGUAGUGGCUUACCAAGGCUUUGACGGGUAGCCGGCCUGAGAGGGUGACCGGCCACAUGGGGACUGAGAGACGGCCCAGACUCCUACGGGAGGCAGCAGUGGGGAAUAUGGCACAAUGGGCGGAAGCCUGAUGCAGCAACGCCGCGUGCGGGAAGACGGCCUUCGGGUUGUAAACCGCUGUCGCCUGUGACGAAGCGUGAGUGACGGUAAUGGGUAAAGAAGCACCGGCUAACUACGUG
rnacentral:rRNA from 1 species